UUGAACGCUGGCGGCAGGCCUAACACAUGCAAGUCGAACGGUAACAGGAAGCAGCUUGCUGCUUUGCUGACGAGUGGCGGACGGGUGAGUAAUGUCUGGGAAACUGCCUGAUGGAGGGGGAUAACUACUGGAAACGGUAGCUAAUACCGCAUAACGUCGCAAGACCAAAGAGGGGGACCUUCGGGCCUCUUGCCAUCGGAUGUGCCCAGAUGGGAUUAGCUAGUAGGUGGGGUAACGGCUCACCUAGGCGACGAUCCCUAGCUGGUCUGAGAGGAUGACCAGCCACACUGGAACUGAGACACGGUCCAGACUCCUACGGGAGGCAGCAGUGGGGAAUAUUGCACAAUGGGCGCAAGCCUGAUGCAGCCAUGCCGCGUGUAUGAAGAAGGCCUUCGGGUUGUAAAGUACUUUCAGCGGGGAGGAAGGUGUUGAGGUUAAUAACCUCAGCAAUUGACGUUACCCGCAGAAGAAGCACCGGCUAACUCCGUGCCAGCAGCCGCGGUAAUACGGAGGGUGCAAGCGUUAAUCGGAAUUACUGGGCGUAAAGCGCACGCAGGCGGUCUGUCAAGUCGGAUGUGAAAUCCCCGGGCUCAACCUGGGAACUGCAUUCGAAACUGGCAGGCUAGAGUCUUGUAGAGGGGGGUAGAAUUCCAGGUGUAGCGGUGAAAUGCGUAGAGAUCUGGAGGAAUACCGGUGGCGAAGGCGGCCCCCUGGACAAAGACUGACGCUCAGGUGCGAAAGCGUGGGGAGCAAACAGGAUUAGAUACCCUGGUAGUCCACGCCGUAAACGAUGUCGACUUGGAGGUUGUGCCCUUGAGGCGUGGCUUCCGGAGCUAACGCGUUAAGUCGACCGCCUGGGGAGUACGGCCGCAAGGUUAAAACUCAAAUGAAUUGACGGGGGCCCGCACAAGCGGUGGAGCAUGUGGUUUAAUUCGAUGCAACGCGAAGAACCUUACCUACUCUUGACAUCCAGAGAACUUUCCAGAGAUGGAUUGGUGCCUUCGGGAACUCUGAGACAGGUGCUGCAUGGCUGUCGUCAGCUCGUGUUGUGAAAUGUUGGGUUAAGUCCCGCAACGAGCGCAACCCUUAUCCUUUGUUGCCAGCGGUUAGGCCGGGAACUCAAAGGAGACUGCCAGUGAUAAACUGGAGGAAGGUGGGGAUGACGCCAAGUCAUCAUGGCCCUUACGAGUAGGGCUACACACGUGCUACAAUGGCGCAUACAAAGAGAAGCGACCUCGCGAGAGCAAGCGGACCUCAUAAAGUGCGUCGUAGUCCGGAUUGGAGUCUGCAACUCGACUCCAUGAAGUCGGAAUCGCUAGUAAUCGUGGAUCAGAAUGCCACGGUGAAUACGUUCCCGGGCCUUGUACACACCGC
rnacentral:rRNA from 1 species